AUCAGCAUGGUUUAAUGGUUUGAGCAUUGGACUAUGACUCUGGAGGCCUGGGUUCGAUUCCCAGCUUGGCCA